CAGAGCAUAGCUAAAUUAGAACAGCGUCUCCCUUACACUGAGAAGAUAUCCGUGCAAAUCGGAUUGCCCUGA
rnacentral:tRNA from 2 species